UCUAAAACAACCAUCAGGUGGAACCUUUGGGAGAGAAAAUUAAUGAUCCAUAAGCCCAAGAUGAGAAAGAAAGAAAAACAGACCUGAGGAGUUCCCCAGCCAGCUUGCUCCCUGAUUUGGCCUAAAGCACUUCCAAGCACUGAGCUCCAGGUGAAGGGCUUGACAUUGACCUGAAAGCAUUGGUAUGGGUUUUCUCAUGACGGUUUCAACGUCAUCGGAAAUGGUGAUUAAUGAUCAGUCCUGGGAUCAGCAUUGUGAGACCUUGUAAUUACUGUGUGAAUCACGUCCAGGCAGUAACCAGCUUCUCCUGUUCGUGCCUCCCCCACACGUGAGUGUGCUCUAACCUUCACAUGGUAAAACAGUGGUUCUUCAUUAAAAGCCUCUACAAGGUGGGAACAUUAUUUCCUCGUAUUAUUAU